AAAGCGUGCGCAGGCGGUUGUGUAAGUCAGAUGUGAAAUCCCCGGGCUCAACCUGGGAAUUGCAUUUGAGACUGCACGGCUAGAGUGUGUCAGAGGGGGGUAGAAUUCCACGUGUAGCAGUGAAAUGCGUAGAUAUGUGGAGGAAUACCGAUGGCGAAGGCAGCCCCCUGGGAUAACACUGACGCUCAUGCACGAAAGCGUGGGGAGCAAACAGGAUUAGAUACCCGGGU
rnacentral:rRNA from 1 species